GUCACACUCUCAGGUCAAAGGAUCACUGUGAGUUACAGUAGAUCAUUCUGAACAGAUCUUCUCUCCACGCUGCACGAAGUAAAGAGACUUGAUUCUUCACACGGGGUUUGUAAUUCUUCAGACGACGAGGAUGGCAUCUGAUCAACGCCUGGGUCUAGACUGAAGGUUAACUGCCGACAGGGAAAGUCCUGCUCGGACAAACAAGGAUCCCGCCUGAUGUCAGACGCAGAUGGUGGACAGUGAACGCACCAUCUAUUUGAGAAGGCGAAGAUGAUCUGGAUCCUUCUGCUCGUCAGCCUGACCUCCUCUGUCUGUGGAGGGCUGAAGGAGGAAGCCGGCUCAGAUGGUUGGAACCCAGUCCUGAUCAUUGGAGUCAUGCUUGGUGGAGCUGUAUUCGUUGUUGGUCUAAUAUUUCUGGGUGAUUCAGCUCUCCAGUGUCUGGCAUAUCUCAUUCGUGGAGCUAACAGCAUCAUUCAGUUCCUGAGACGGAUCAUCUGAACAAGUUACAAUCGGCAGCAUCACUUCUUCCAUUCUGGGUCCAAAACAACAGAAAGUUCCUGUCAGCUCGCCUCCGUCCACGAUGAUUCCUCUAUUACAACUUGCAGAGACUUUAAACUUACUAAAGAAACGUCAUCCGUUACGACAUCCAAUUAUAGUCUGAACACACGUAUUAUACAAACGUGCCUGAAUGCAUCCAUCCUGCAAACAGAACAACAACGAGGAAGAACAACGGCACUACUGUUCAAUCAUAACAUAACAGCAUCACUAUAAAACAUUAGCCUGUCUGUCUGUGUGUCUGUCUUUACUGUGACGUACAAAUAAGUUACACGUUUCUGCAAGUUGAUUCUCAUACGACACUGAAGCUUUUGCUCCCUAGCGGCACUUUUAGCUUCUAACAUACCUGCUUAUUAUUAAUCUAAGUAUACUGUAGUGGUGUGUAUUUGUAUUGUAUCUGUUUCAUAUUUAUAGUACGUGUAUAUCUGAUAUCCAUGUAUACCCAUGAACAUCUGGUCUCAUCAUGUGUUAUACUGUAUAGCUUUCAGAGCUGCUGCUCUUUGCACACUUUUAAAACUUUAAAUCAUCCAUUGUUUUAAUCUGAUGAUGAUGUUGCUGUCAUUAAAGUCAGUUUGCAAUAAUUAAUAACUCUAUUUGUCUGCCUGGAUACUGGUUACAGAGUAUUUCUUUUUAUCUUUAAACAUGUGACAAGUGAUGAAUAUACCCUAACCAAACUUAUUUUGUGCCUAAACCAAACCAAACUUUAACCACAGUGGUGUAAAAUCAUAAACUGUCAACUACUAAGCUGCUGAAAUGUUACAAAUACUCUAUAAACUUUACUACUAUCCAAAUAAAGAGUUACCCACUACGUGUAGCAGCCGAUUAGCGUUGCCUUGUCAAAUCCUUCUUCUUUAAAAUAUUUUAUAAAUGUGUUUUUCCGUAGACGUUCUCGGCUGUGUGUGCAUGCCGAAGUUUUGAGGGACUUUUUCAACUUAUUGUCAACAUCUGAAUGUUUUAAUCACAUCUCAUUAUCGACUGAAUGUGCCUAAAACCAGUGUGUCUGCAUUUCUUAUGAUCACUUCUCAUUUCACUAUAAUAAAGUUCAGCAGGAAA